rnacentral:tRNA from 1 species
CAUUAAAUAGCUAAAAGUUAGUUUUGGUCUCUUAAACCACCUCAUAGUAGUCUCACACCUACUUUUAAUG